UACGAAGGGGGCUAGCGUUGCUCGGAAUCACUGGGCGUAAAGCGCACGUAGGCGGAUUGCUAAGUCAGGGGUGAAAUCCUGGAGCUCAACUCCAGAACUGCCUUUGAUACUGGCGAUCUUGAGUCCGGGAGAGGUGAGUGGAACUGCGAGUGUAGAGGUGAAAUUCGUAGAUAUUCGCAAGAACACCAGUGGCGAAGGCGGCUCACUGGCCCGGUACUGACGCUGAGGCACGAAAGCGUGGGGAGCAAACAGGG
rnacentral:rRNA from 1 species